rnacentral:rRNA from 1 species
AUACGGAGGAUGCGAGCGUUAUCCGGAUUUAUUGGGUUUAAAGGGUGCGCAGGCGGGCGAUUAAGUCAGCGGUGAAAGGCUCGGGCUCAACCGGAGCAGUGCCGUUGAUACUGGUUGUCUUGAAUGCGGUCAAGGCCGGCGGCAUGGGGCGUGUAGCGGUGAAAUGCAUAGAUAUGCCACAGAACACCGAUAGCGAAGGCAGCUGGCCGGGCCUGCAUUGACGCUGAGGCACGAAAGCGUGGGGAUCGAACAGGAUUAGAUACCCUGGUAGUCCACGCUGUAAACGAUGGACACUCGUUGUCGGCGACAGACAGUCGGCGGCCAAGCGAAAGUGAUAAGUGUCCCACCUGGGGAGUACGGUCGCAAGGCUGAAACUCAAAUGAAUUGACGGGG